GUACUGUGGUUUCUCUUCAGUCCGCAUAAGUCUUUCGCCUUUUACUAAAAAUUUCCGUGGAGAGUGACAUUAAUGAGCAUAAGCAAUUUUUGCCAGGCUCUUCCUCUUGGCUAUG